rnacentral:rRNA from 1 species
GACGAACCGUCCAAGCGUUAUCCGGAUUUAUUGGGUUUAAAGGGUGCGUAGGCGGCUUUUUAAGUCAGGGGUGAAAGACGGUGGCUCAACCAUCGCAGUGCCCUUGAUACUGAAGAGCUUGAAUAAACUAGAGGUAGGCGGAAUGUGACAAGUAGCGGUGAAAUGCAUAGAUAUGUCACAGAACACCAAUUGCGAAGGCAGCUUACUAUGGUUUAAUUGACGCUGAGGCACGAAAGCGUGGGGAUCAAACAGG